rnacentral:miRNA from 9 species
CGCUCGGGCAACAAUCAACUAA